CCUCCAAAUAAAUAAAUAAAUCUUAAAAAAAAAAAAAAAAGCAUAGUCUAAAAUGGCAGGAUUAAUCUUUGAAACAUUUCAUGGAAUUCAGAAAAGAGGGCGACAUUCAGUUGUCCACAAGCUAAGUCAAUUCGAAUUUCUCAAGAUGCUUCAUCUGAAUCAGACUUCCUGAGGAAAUGAUGAUGUUUAAGCCAGAACAAACAUACUUUUCAUGGAAUGUGGUUCUUUUGUGAAAUACUUUGUUUCCUAAACAGAUAGUGACAGGCAUGAAAUACUUACCCAAGAUUUUAUUUGUGUUUUUCCCUACUCUUUCUAAAGAGAAUUCUGGAAUAUUGGUGUGGACACCAGUAUCGGUGAAGGAAAAAAAAAAAAAAAAAAAAAAAAAACGCAAAAUGACACCAAUCCACAAUCUUUGUAUCCUGUGGAAAAGAUAUGACUGAAGACUUGGACCAUUAUCCAAAUGCCACGUGGCAUUUUUUUAAAAUGCUAGUUCUUUUCAAGAACGUUCCAUUAAGUUUAAAACACUCCCACAAACUCCGAAAGACAAGAUAAUUUAUCGGCCGCCUUCUAUAGAGCUUCAGACACGGAGCGUCUGCUUCAAGCAGCUCCUGUAGUGGGCGCUCCUUUCCCCCGAACACCCCCGGACUUGAGUUUCCUGUGAGGACAGAACUCCGUGACCUGAGGUGACCCUAUUAGCUUCUCUGCACCUCUGCAACUUCACCUGUGGAGAGGAGGGAUCACCCCCGAUUCUGCAUGCCCCCUGGGGCUGCCCUGAUCCAGGGGGACAAAACAAGUAGAAGGAAUUGAGCACUAAUAGCAGAAGCCUGGCUGGAAGCCUCAGCCCAGGUUCCUGCUUUCCAGGGCUAGGUCCCCCUCCUCACUCGGGGUCUCAGCUGAGCCUUCUGGUGCUCCUCCAGCCCCCACCCCAAAGUCUGCCUCAAGCACUUGGUCACCUGGGUUCCCGCAGCAGCCUAUGAGGUCCCCAUGACAGCGCAGAGCACAGCGUGUCCUUCAGCGCCGAGCAGGUGAGCCACGGGUGUUACCCAUGGAGCACGUGGGAGUGGGAAAAGCUCUUCUCCCCGAGGACACGUCUCCCUCCAGCCUCUCUUGGGAUCUCCUGCCCGACCACCUGGCCGGCCAGGCCUUCUGACGUUUCCUCUUUCUCGGGAAGCUUCCUGCUCGCACUGGGCAAGGAAGGAGCACACCCUUCCUCCUGGGCGGCAGGGGACAGGAGAGGCGUCUUUCCUGGGGUUGAUCAGUCUGGCCCACAAGUCCACCAAGGGGUUCUCUCCAUCACGGAGGGUGACCUGAAGGAAAUCGCAAAGUUCUAGAAUUAGCAGGUCUUUCAUGAAUAGCAACAGGAGCCCUGAGACUGGUGGAAAUGGAAGCGAAUACUUAGAGCUCGUCAACUGAGAAAAGGGGGGAAAAGAGAGUAAAGCCCUUGGGAGAGCCCUGUGAGCUCGGAGCUAGAACAUUUCUUCAUGUUUUCAUCAUGCACGUGCUUGGGACCUGCCUCUUGCCAGAUCCUGCCAAGCCCUGGGCAUGGACAGAUGGACAAUCCCUGGUGUGUGUGUGUGUGUGUGUGUGUGUGUGUGUGUGUGUGUGUUUGGGGGAGGUGUUGAAGCAUGGAUCCCAGCGGGCGCUGAUGAAUCUUGUGACGGGCCCAGAGGAGAGCUUCUAGAUGGUGAUAUUGUGGCACUGAUGAGAUUUUCCUCUGCCCUGCCUGGGGAGGCCAACAGUGAAUGCACUUGCAGCCUCACAAGGGAUGUCUGGAAGUGAGUUCCUGGUGUUCUAAGUUGGAACAUUCUGUGGAACAGGGAAAAACACGGGAGGGUCCAGAACAAUCUUAGACCUUGCAGUGGCCGUCUGGUGCACCUGCUGUGCCCACCAUGUCCAGGACCGAGGCACUCCUUUCCCCAACUGCCAGGAGCAUCGGCCGCUGGGAGCUCACAGCCUCGUCUCUCUGCCUUCCCAAGAGGCACGCCCCAAAUAACGACUAUUUGAUAGGGGAUUACCACGGGGCCAACUCUCGAGGGCCCCGGCAGCCCCAGAGCUGAGAUGGGCUCAGGACUCUGUUGCAGCCUCAUUGCACAUCAGUGUCCCAAUCUGCUUCCUUUCCCCCCACCCCCACCCCAAGAGCACCCUCAGCACACCUCCACGCAAAUCUCCAGCUCAUAAGCUGUUUUCAGGGAACCCGACACAAAAGAAAACCUCUAUUUCAGAACUGCUUUGUACCCCAUAACGUCAGCUCCGUCGUGGGUCCCACUGGCAGUGUGGGCUCACCUGGGGACCCCGGUGAGCGUCACCGUGCCCCGAGAGAAGGCAUUCAGAGGAAAGAGAGAGCCAAGGCCAUCGCUUUUCCUCGCGGAGCUGGGGACCUCAGGAUUUCCAGGCUGGCAAUGAUCUCAUCCUUUUUGGCAAUUUCACCCGGGGCUUGGCAGCCUUCACCAUCUGGAAGUUCUUGCUUACUUCAAACUGGAAUCCUUCCUUCUGUGAUGUACCCCCCUUUCCUCUCCCCUUUCCUCCGAGGAGCUGUAUUCUUGCCAAGAAAGAAAGUUAAAAGGGAACAGAGACAUAUGGUUUUCCUAUUAAGACUGACGCCCACAUUUUAGGAGAACAGAGGAAAACGUUCAAAUUAGGGCAACGGAAAUACAUUUGCAUGGCACCAACAUUUGGAAUUGUGUGGUUUUUUUAAAGGUAACCCAAACAAUGAGUGCCUCUUUUUGUCCAGCUUAUUAAACUUUUAGAGUAUUCCGGGGAUCCUGGAAACCCCUCCUCGGAGGCAGGUUAGUACGGAGAGACCCGAUUUGGAGUCUGGACCUCCUGCAUUCAAAACAUCCUUCUGCCACUCACUAGCAGGGCGACAACAGCAGCGUGACUGUGGGGAAUGCACUUUGCCUUUGAGGUUCCGCUUUCCUGAUCACACGAUGGGGAACACUGGCCCCCUGCCUCUGUCCCAGGGUUGUUGAGAGUUAAUGGGAGGACAUGAAGAAGUCCAGUAAACCAAGACACACGGUUGUAGUGUUAAUAUUCAGCACCGUCCAUAAUGGUUUCCUGAGCAACUACCAAGUCCAGAGUCCCACCAUGUUUUUUUCUUUUUAAGAAACUGACACACCGAUACUAAAAUUCAUAUGGAAAUGCAUCAGACCUAGAUCCGCCAAACAACUUUGGAGAGACAAACAACUUGGAAGAACCAAGCUGGAGAACUAAGGCUACCUGGUUUUAAGCCUUGUGCGAGGACACAGAAGGCGUCAGUCUGCAAACCGGAAAGAGAGCCCUUACCAGAACUGGACUACACGGACACCUGACCUCAGACUUCCAGCCUCCGGAAGUAUAAGAAAAUAAAUUUCUGUUGCUUAUGCCACCCGGUCUGUGGCAUUUUUUUUAUGGCAGCCCGAGCGGACGACGACGAUGGCUAAAAUUAAAGACUGCUGACACCAAGUGUUGUCAGGGAAGUGGAGUAACUGGAACAUUCCUACCCCGUGAGAACGUAAAUGGUACGAGCGCUUGGAAAUCACUUCAGCAGUUUCUCACAAGGUUAAAUUAUACCUGCCAUGAUCCGCUUGUUCUCCUCCCAGGAAUCUGCCCAAGAGAAAAGAAAACAUAUGCCCACACGAAGACUUGUAAACAAAUACUCAUAGCAACUUGAUCUGUAAUAACCGCAAACUGGAAACAAGCCAGCUGCCCAUCAACAUGCGAGUGGGCAAACCAACUGUGCUACGUCCAUCACGUGGCGUCCCAGGCCCAGACCAAGCUGUCAGGGUCUCCCUGGGCAGUGGGUAAAGGCUCAGCAUCCCAGGUGGGGGCUUGCAGGUUCUAAGGGGUUGACCCUGACCUAGAGCUGGCCCAGUCCUGCACAGCUGGACCCUCAGAGACUAUCCAGGCCCUAGAGCAGAGGUGGCAGCCAGUGGGGGUUUGAAGCGUGGAUCUGAGUGCUGACCUGGCCACUACUGGCCCUGUGACCUCAAGCUGAUCCCUGAAUCCUUCUGGACCAACAGGAAUAGGAUUCCAACUUCAGCUUAACUUCCUGCAGAAUUCCCCUUGACUCCUGGCCCUCCCAUUAAAGCCUCCCCACUCGAGGCUGUGUCAGCCUUUUAACCCGUUGCUCCAUGACUUGUUCACCAGUGUCCCCUAGCAGGUGGUACACAGUAGUUCAACGCAUGUUGCCAAUUGAUAAAAAAUCUACGAUGUGCCAGGCACUUGACAUACGACAGCUUAUUUAAUUUUCUAAACAAUCCUGCAUUGUGGGUCUAAUCAUGCCCAUUUUAGAGAUGAGAAAACUGAGGUGGAGUGAACUGACUCACAGGAGCCUGACACACAGGGUCAUGAAGAGGCGGUGCUGGAGUCUGAGCCUGGCUUAUUAGACUCCAAAGCCCCUGAGUUUGCUGCCGCACGGGGCUCCCCAGCCUCUACCGAGGGGUGACUUUGCCUGAACUUUCUGCCUCACUGCUGGACCCCAGGAGACAGAGCCUGCAGAGUGCUUGGCAAGGCCCCCCUGGCUCCCAGCAGUGCUGCUCCUGCGAGGAGGCCUUUGUGGACGAGAGGGUGAGCUCACCGUGCGGGGUGGAAGAUGUCGGGCUGGUGGCUGGCGAGUGGCCUCUGGUUCACCUGACUGGCUCAUGUUUGGGGCGUGUCCCUGUGAGUCUGGUCGGGUUUCUUGUAGGUUCCCACGGAGACUGGCCUCUUCUGGGAGGCGACUGAUGCUGCCUUUCCUCCCUGACCAGGCGACGACUCCACUCACUCUUCCCAAGGCCUCAGCCUUCAGUCCCACCGAAUCACUCAGGGGAAGUCAGAGCUCGUAAUUAUUUGACUAAUCCUCAUGUGGCAACACACUGGAGAUUGUUUUUUUAGCACAAGGCAGGGCCUGAGUGAGAGCUUUUCUCCCUGCCGUCUUGCCUUGCCUGGGUCUGCGGUCUGGGAGCUAGGCGCCUCCUUCCCUGGAGCCUGGAGAGGUGGAAGUGGUGGGUCUCCCAAGCCCGGGAACCCACAGCACCCCCUUGAUUAUCAGUCUCCUGGGGCUGCUGUAACAAUUUACCACAAAAUCGAUGGCUUAAAACAAGAGAAAUUUAUUUUCUCACCAUCGUGGAGACCAGAAGCCCCAGAUCAAGGGCCUUAUGUGGGAUGAUCCAGGAAAAAAGCUCAUCUCAAGACAUUUAACAACAUCUGCAAAGACCCUUAGGUCACAUUCGCAGUUUCCCAAUGGGCAGCUAUUUUCGGGGGGAGGGGGCACCAUUCAGCCCCUACCUCCCAGAAGUUGCCUCUGCCAGUGCCGAAUAAUGGCACAGACACUCCCCUCCUUGCUGGGGGUCCCUCCCAUUUGUUCUUUCCUCUCCAUCCCAAGAGCCACUGUCCUCUUCAGGCCCUCUCUUCUAUUGCUGGGACUGGUGCAGUAGGCUUCUAACCUGCCCCACUUUCAUCUCUCAUUCUUUUUACUGCUCCAGAGGGACUUUGGUGACCACCAAAUUAUCCUGUAUCAUUCGUGCCUCGGACACUUUGGAAGAGCAAGUCCAGUCUUCCAGGUGUGGUGUUUGAGGCCCUGACCAGCUGCUCAGCUUCUUGUCCUGGUCUCUGCCUCUACCCUCCCCCAGACCCACCAACACUGUACAGCCUUUAAACGGACUAUCCUCUCACUUCAAAAUGCCUUUUGCUUAUGCUCAUUGUCCAUUUCCCAGCCCUCUGGCCAGAAGCCCCAGGAGGUCUUCCUCAGCCCUGUCUCAUGUCCAGAGCACCUUCCUGGGCCCCAGCAUUUGUCCCUCACCAGUGCUGGUCACUGACACGGCCCAGGCCUUCUUAAAUAGAGUUGGAGCUCCCUGGGGGAGUCUGAGGUCACCAUCACGCUCUGUGCAGAGCUCAGCACAGAGGACGCACUGGGAAAGGUUUGUGGUGUGAAUGGCCAAGUCACAGUAAGUCACUCGGAAACAGAGAUCCUACUUAACUCAUCGGCUUAAUUCUGAGUGCAUCUGCCUGCUCCGCCCCCCUCCCCGCACCUGUCUUAAAGUUGUAGGAAGUGAGCUCCUACGAUGCACAGUGGAGUAUGUCGAAAAGCUCCCCUUCUGAAACUGGAUGUAACCCAAAGCAAAGCCUUCCUUGGCCACCUAGGCUCAGGUACAACCUGGGCAGGUCAGUGGGUUUUUCAGAGCCUCUCCUUCCUCAUCUGCAAACAGAUUGGUUUUGUUUUCCUCAAAAGAGUGGCCAUAUAAAUAGUUACGAUUUGGCCCAGAAAUUCUGCUCCUGGGUCCCAAGAGGAACACGUCUACCAAGACCCUCAUACCGGAAUGCUCAUAGCAGCCUGAUUCGUCAUGGGCAAAUGGUGGAAACAACACGGAGGCCCAUCACUGGUGAAUGAUACAUGCGGCGCAUCCAUACAGCAGACGGUUACUGAGCGGUGGAGCGGAAUGAAGGAGAGAGACGUGCUACCACCUGGAUGAGCUCAGAAGACAUCAUGCGGAGGAAAAGAAGCCAGCCAUGAAAGAUCGUGUAUUGUAAGAUUCCAUUUAUGUGAAAUACCCGGAACACGCAAAUCCGUGGAGACAGAAAUUAGAGUAGUGGCUGCGAAGGGCUCAGAGGGGACGGCCCGGUGGUGGCAGGGGGGUAUCCAACAGGUAUGGGGUUUCUUUGGGGGAUGAUGAAAAUGGUCUCAGACUGACUGCUGUGGGACCCUAUGGACCAUUGCAUUAUGCACUUUGGAGGGUGAACUCUGUGGUAAGUGAAUUAUAUCUCAACAAGCCUGUUCCAGAAAUAACACACAGUGGCAAUGCGGCAGAAGGGUCAGGCGCCAAGGUCGUGGUGUCUUUCAAGUAGAUCUGAGUUUAAAUCCUGGCUCCACUGCUGAGCCGAUGAGGGAGCUUGAGGAAUAAUAAUUAACUUUUCAGAAGGUCAGUGUUUUCACCUAUAAAAUGGAGACAAUCCACAUGCCUGCUUCCUGGGGCUGUUUUGGGGAUACAUUAGAUGAGGCUCAUAGAGUCCUCGGCACAGAAGGGGAACGCUUGACGUGGGCUGUCAUUAGCUCGGUCUGUGAGGGAUGCUGUGUGUUCUCAGCGGCGGGAGCUCCUCUGCGGCUCCGGGCAGUGGCCUAUCCCUUCUUAGGAAGAAGAGGAGUGGGCUCUAACCAGGUUCCCAGCCCCUUCUCUGCGGGCACCUAAGCCACGCCAUCGUCCUGCAGUGAUGCUGACCACACGUGGGGAAGACGUCCGUGGCCACUGUCCACUUCUUCCCCUCGACUCUUUGCUUUGGGUGGGCAUCCCCAAGGAGGCUGCCCGGGCAUCUGCGGACACUUUGGAGGUAGCAAGCUCUUUGCUCACCAGUGACCCCCGCACCUUGGCUGAAGGUUGCCCUUUCCAACCCGAGGGGCUGAGCUGGCUCCCUUCCCAUGGGCUGACCCAAGCCAGCACUUGGCCACAGGGCCAGUGAGCGGGGCGUGAGGAGCUCCUGCCGCUGGGAACACCGGGCGUCCCACCCAAACAAGCCCACCCUUUGUCCGCCUUCCUGGCGCUUGCAGCCCCUCGAGGGCGGCCUUGAGAUCAGUAGAGGCUUCCCCGCAUCUUCCUCAGCUCCAGGGCGUGUUAACAUCCCUUGGCCUCCACACAAAGAACUCCAAGGGAUAUCUUUAAUAGGCAUGGUGUUCCCUCUGUAUUUUUUUAAAUUUUUAUUUAAGUCAUCUGUACACGCGGUGUGGGGCUUGAACUCACAAGCCUGAG